rnacentral:lncRNA from 1 species
ACACCGUUGCCACUGGUGGUUAAUAAUAGUGGAUUUGGCACCUUGUGCAACCCAUGCCACUGGAUUAUAUGACUAUAGCUUAUUAAUGUUGGAAUUUUAAUAUCAGAGUUUUUUGUGAAAAUGAUAAUAAGUUUCGAAAAGAAAUAUGUUAUUUAUAAUUUAUUUUUCAGUCAUUAUUUUGUGUUUUGAUUAAAUAUCUGACAUGCUUUAAACCCACUCUUGAGUAUUAUGUUGCUUACUAGACUAAUGUAGCUCAUUAUUAUAUUUUUUUUUAUUUUUCAGAUCCAGAUUAAUAGACGCCUGAUUGCUCCGAACUUGAAAAGUGCGCUAGAUUUCCUGAUGACUUCUUCAGUUAUUGGCAUUGUAGAUA